UCAGUCGGCUGGACGGCCGCUCCCGCAAGCGCCGAAAGGCCGCGGGGGAGGAAAGUCCGGGCUCCAUCGACAAGCGGUGCCGGAUAACGUCCGGCGGGGGCGACCCCAGGGAAAGUGCCACAGAGAACGAACCGCCCGCCUCCGCCCUUCGGGCUCCGGCGCGGCAAGGGUGAAAAGGUGCGGCAAGAGCGCACCGCGGCUCCGGCAACGGAACCGGCAUGGUAAACCCCACCGGGAGCAAGACCGAAUAGGGACGGCACACGCGGACGGUUCGCGAAAGCGAUAACGCCGCGGGGGUUUUGUCAGGCUCGCCGUCCGGGUAGGUUGCCCGAGGCCAUGUGCGAACAUGGUCCCAGAGGAAUGGCCGUCACGUAUCGCCGGCGCGAGCCGGCGGUGCCCUACAGAACCCGGCUUACAGGCCGGCUGAUAUG
rnacentral:RNase_P_RNA from 1 species